AUGGCGACAGGAGCAGGAUCGUCCUCGGAGGGCUGGUCCGGGAAGAAGUUGGAGGAGUUGCUGCAACACUUGGAUCUCAAGGACGAUGAACUAGACGACGUGAUCGUGGGGGUGGAGGAAUCUAAGAAGUAUGCAGCAGAUGCGAGAUGGCUAGCGAUCGCGAAGGUAAACACGACCCGGAUCUUCAGCGCAUCCGCUAUGUUUGAGACCAUGAAAUCGAUCUGGAGCCUAGCACAUGUGCCGCAGUAUAGGGAGGCAGGGGAAAACCUAUUUAUCUUUCAGAUGUUUUGCCUGGGAGAUUGGAAGAAAGUUGUCCAUGGUGGUCCGUGGUUGUUCAGAGGGAUGGGGAUGCUGAUUGAAGAUUAUGAUGGUAAGCAAGAUCCGGAAUCCGUCAGCUUCGAUGGCCUGUUUGUCUGGGCACAAAUACACAAUAUACCGGAGCUCUACCGGAAACUUGAAAUUGUUGAUCAGCUAGCUAGGCGGAUCGGUCGGGUGAAGGAAACACAACUAUCUCCAAGGCUCUUCUAUGAAGGUAAC
rnacentral:rRNA from 1 species